CUGCAGAGAGCCCUUCUACCCUGGCAUCUCUCCCUGCAGAGAGCCCUUCUACCCUGGCAUCUCUCCCUGCAGAGAGCCCUUCUACCCUGACAUCUCUCCCUGCAGAGAGCCCUUCUACCCUGGCAUCUCUCCCUGCAGAGAGCCCUUCUACCCUGGCAUCUCUCCCUGCAGAGAGCCCUUCUACCCUGACAUCUCUCCCUGCAGAGAGCCCUUCUACCCUGGCAUCUCUCCCUGCAGAGAUCCCUUCUACCCUGACAUCUCUCCCUGCAGAGAGCCAUUCUACCCUGGUAUCUCUCCCUGCAGAGAGCAGUUCGUCAGCGACACAGCCCGACAGAUUGGCGUGUCCUUCCAGCAGGUGGAGAUGUAGAAGACUGUGAUUUUCUCCGGGGAUCAAGAUCAUGAUUCUCAAGGCCAUUGGCAUCCUGAGAGAAGCACUAGCUGGGGCCCACAUCAAAUCCCCCCAGAACAGGGAGUCACAGCCAUUACCGUUCACCAGGCUGCCAGCAGCGUCCCCACAUCUGACUUCCUCACCAACACAUACACGCUCAGACAGAGAGAGACACACACUCUGGCUUCUCCCAUCAGUGUCACUAGCUGAGAGACGGGCAGUAACGAGCGUAUGGCCAUGUCUCUCUGGGGUAAAAGUGAACGGUUGGCCAGACAGAAGAACACUAUGACCCCAACAGACAGUGACCACAACAGCAACAGUCGGACCGCAGUAGGAAUGCUUCGACCCCACCAGUAGGAAUGCUUCGACCCCACCAGUAGGAAUGCUUCGACCCCACCAGUAGGAAUGCUUCGACCCCACCAGUAGGAAUGCUUCGACCCCACCAGUAGGAAUGCUUCGACCCCACCAGUGAGGACCAUCUCUCUGCAACAGAACAGUUUCACUCUCUCACAUUUUCUCUGACUGUUUCCUGUUCUCUCUCCACUCUCUCUAUUUAUCACUUUUUCCUGUUCUCUCUCUUCAAUCUAUAUUUAUCACUGUUUCCUGUUCUCUCUCCACUCUCUCUAUUUAUCACUUUUUCCUGUUCUCUCUCUUCAAUCUAUAUUUAUCACUGUUUCCUGUUCUCUCUCUUCAAUCUAUAUUUAUCACUGUUUCCUGUUCUCUCUCUUCAAUCUAUAUUUAUCACUGUUUCCUGUUCUCUCUCUUCAAUCUAUAUUUAUCACUGUUUCCUGUUCUCUCUCUUCAAUCUAUAUUUAUCACUGUUUCCUGUUCUCUCUCUUCAAUCUAUAUUUAUCACUGUUUCCUGUUCUCUCUCCUCUCUCUCUAUUAAUCUUCCACUUCUCUUCAGCUCUGUCUCAUCCAUUUUCUAGAGAAAGAGAAAUCAGUCUUUACAGAGAGGAUAUAUAAUCACAUCCUUUAGCUAUUAGUGGCUCCUGGACAUACAGAACCAACUGGUUUCAACCAGUUUAACUGACAGUUCAAACCACUAGUCUGCUACUUUUCAUAUCUCAGUAUCAUGAAGUAGAAUCAAGUAGAACAGACAACACUAAUAUCUGGGUGGAAUUCAGGAUUGCACAACUUUCUGAACGUUAAGAGAUGACAUGAUUCCUUAAGCGCUUCUCAGAGUCCAAACUGUAUACUCUUCCGCACAGCAGUGUUGUGGAAUAUUGGACCUUUGGCUUUCAUAAUAGCAAUUGACCAUUGUUAUUUCAGUUUCCAGUGCACACCAAAAUAUGUAUUGUUGAAAUGGAAAACAUUUUUUAAAUGAAAACUGUGCUUGUGUUUACAGAGGGUGAUUAAGUGUCCUGCCUGACCCUGUAAUCUCCCCAUAGAUUGAGAGAUUACAGGGUGCUGGUCUGAA